UUAACGUGUCAUCUACUAUUGUGUCUCCAGGUUCAGGAAGGAGAACAAGGGCAGCAUUGAUCCUUAUGUAUAUCUGCCCUUUGGAAAUGGACCCAGAAACUGCAUUGGCAUGAGGUUUGCUCUCAUGAAUAUGAAACUCGCUCUCACUAAAAUUCUGCAGAACUUCUCCUUCCAGCCUUGUAAAGAAACACAGAUACCUGUGAAAUUAAGCAGAGAAGGACUUCUUCAACCAGCAAAACCCAUUGUUCUAAAGGUUGUGCCAAGAGAUGCAGUCAUAACUGGAGCAUGACUUUCCCCUCAAGGAGUUCUAUUGGAUUCUUCAGAAAGUACAUUGAACCCUUUAAUUUAUCUCAUGAAUGAAUUCCAGAUAAAAUGGGGCUUAAUUGACUGUCUUGACUCGUGGUUACAGAUUCAUUACAUCCAUUGAUCUUUCUCCAUGUCUAUCCAAAUUACAAUCUAAUAUAAAGGAGAUGACAAGUCAGUGACAGAACAGAAAAUUCACCUUCACUUCUUGUGGGACCAUCUCUAUCCACAUUUGAAUGUCUCUGUUAAUUUCUUUUGAUGGUAACCAUGUUUCUGUAAUUUGGUCAAUAAUUUUUUGAAGAAAAGGUGAACUAUUGUGACAUCUCUAAUUGUACAAUUGGUAUCAGAUGUUUUAGUUGCAAUAUUCUACACUAAAAGUCCUGUCCCUGUCUCCUUUCCCAACCAUUGGCUGUUGACAACUUUAUUUGCCAAUCAAAGCCAACUGGGGGCAGGUUUCCUUUAACCUAUAUGUGGGACUCUACAAACAGUUUUUGAGGUAUUAUGAUUAGCAUAAGAACACAAGCUGCUACAUUCUCCCUAUUUUGUUCACUAAAGGCCUUGUCUUUCAGAUAUACACAGAACAUAAUUAUAACAGUUUUGUAAACUAUGAGGUAUGAUAUACAGUAAUAACAUACAGUCUAUCAAUCUUGUCAAUGUGGGUAUAUUGUUCUAACAUCUAUCUUACAUUAAAGAGAUUUCAAUUCUAUAAGUGAA